GAGGGCUAGGGAGCUGAGCUCCGGAAGGGCGGACGGGAGGCCCCAGCGGCCACUCCUAGAGAGGAGGGCAGCUCGGGAGGCCUGCGCGGAGAGGGCGGGCGGAGCCGCACGUUGCGUGGAAUUCCCCAGUUCAUUCCCGGGAGAGCUCUGGGCGCAGGACAGAGCGGUGGAGGGGCGCCUGGGAGCCCUGGGGGACACCAAGAGAGGCGAGGUUAGGGCCAGUGCGCAACAAACAGGGAGGAACUACGACGCACUGGGUAGAAAGAGUAAGAGAGGCGCGCCCAUUUUGCUGGUGAGGGGGGCACACGGGGAGCCCAAGAAAGACCUAAAGAGGUAGCGGGUGUAAGGCAGCCUCGGGGGCGUUAAAAAGCGGGUGCCGGAGGGAGGCAAGGAGAGGAAGCUAGGUGUGGGAAGAAGCGAGAGGACACUGUUGCCUGGACAGAGCGUGCCGUGCCAAAGAGCAGAAACAGGGGGUCAAGGAGAGGGCAUCAGGAAUCGCCUGGGGACCCCCCGGAGAGUGGCGGAAGCGGUGCCGUUGGGCGCAGCAAAGAGGGAAGGGAGCACAGGCUGAGAUAGAAACAGUCCCGGCCGCUGGAGCGCAGGAGCUCCCGGCGCCGCAGGGAAAGGAACGUAGAGCCUGCGCGCUCUGGGAAUGCACUAACUGCUGCCCACUAGGAUGGCACGCAUUGGGGCUCUAGAAAAGAGGGUUGAGAAGCCCCGGGCAAGUGCCUAGGAAGGUCAGAGGAGUCAGCAAAGUCCACGGAAGAACCUCCCCAGGUUGGAGAGGAAACGCACCCUGGGAGCUGGAAAGAAGAGGAAAGCUAGCCUGGGGGAAGCUUCAUCAGGGCUCCGAGCACCACGAGGAGUGCAGAGGAGGUGCUGAUGAUUGCGGGGAGAGCUCUGAGAGCCUGAGAAAGAUGGGGAAACGGAAGCCCUAGAGGAAAAGAAGACUAAAUGUGUUACCAUCUGACCCACUUCCUGGCUAGCCUGUUCACCUGUCUGCGAUUCUUCAUUGAUGUGCAAUCCAAGACUCAGAGAAGCUGGAGAAUUUUCCUAAUGUCACACAACAAAGGAAUGGAAGAAUACACGAUCCUCUCCUCCCAACAUGUCACCCAGCAGAACAAGAGAAGGAAUCACAAUCAGUCCAUGACAGUCAUGGUCAUCUCAUUCCUCUUGCCAGUGGCAGGUGUAUGUGUGAGUUUGCAGCUCAAUCCUGGCCAAGGAGAUCCGAGGACUGCUGAAGAGGCAUGUCUGCACAUGCCGCCUAGAACAUCUCCAGCCAUCCUGUGAUCCCUCGGGGAGGCAUUCCCAAUUCUCUGAGAGAAGCAGAACAGAAAGAUGGAAAGAAAGCGCCUAGCUCCAGGAUGAAGACAUUGAGCUGCUGAAUUAACCAUCUUUGUGUUGCUCUAACCUUCAGAGUUCACCUUAACAUGAGAAAAUAAAACCCUUAUUGCUUAGCCACUGGGAUCUUCUUUUAUGUGCAGCCAAAAGUAUCUUAACUGAUAUAAUUAUCUC